ACGUCAUGACGCAGUGACGUCAUGACGCGAAACGCCGGCGGUUUAGGUAGACGCCGCGGAGGAGCGGGUGGGCGCCAUUGUAAGUCCGUCAGGCGCCAGGGGCAAGCUGAGCUGAGGACGGUAAUUUGGCUGGCAGUGGCUGUGUGCUGAUGGUGGAGCGGCUGCGGAGGAUUAGCUGUAGGCCGCAUUUCAAAGAACUGUAUAUUGGAUUGAUCACAUCAUGUUACAGUAAACAGAAAAAAAUGACUUUCAAUAGAAUCACAGGUGUCAGAAUGAGAAACAGUAAUUUUUUUGAUGGUAACAAUUAUGGAGUGAUGCAUUUUUAACAGAAUUGAGAGAUGAGGAAGUGAAACGGUCGUAAGACCGUAGGGAAGAAAGAGAGAAAAGCAAAGAGAGAAAAAAGAAAGAGAAAAAGAUAGGACCCCUGUUGCAGGACUUCGGAGGGGACGUAACAAAGAGGAAUGUUAGAUCUGGGAAGUUUUAAAGGAAUGGAGAUGAAACAUUCUGGAAAGCUAACCAAGGACCCCACACUUUAUUAAAUGAAUUGGCGGAGUGAUUAAUUAACCUUGUCAUGUAUUCCAUUAUAUGAAUGUACCAUAUUCGAGAGAGAACUGCUUGCAAUGAUGGUACAGUAAGUUUUUUUCCAUUCUACAGCUAUUUGGCAUGAUGUUGCCGAAAUAAUUGUUACCGCACCACACAGAACAAAUUCGGACCCAGGGAGUAUGGUUUUUAGUUCCUGGAAGGUAACAAUGGGGUGGCUAGGCAGACAUGGGAGUAUCAGUGAAAGCGGCUACAUCUAAAGGCACAAAGCCACUCACAAAGGUCACCAUACUGAGAUGGAGAAAUUGCAACUGCCAUAGGCUUGACGCAAGCUUCGAAGAUGCAUCUGAUGGUUUGUCUAAGAUGCACUAAGAUGGAUUUCCAGAGCGCAAGAUGCUGCAAGUGGGCAUCAUAGUUUUGAAGAAAAUGGAUGAGGUAUCAGCAUCUGCAUGCCACUCAUUAUCAAUGCCCAAUAUAUUUUAUUAUUGUAUUUAUUGUAUGUUAAUCGUGAAUACGUAAGUGAAAUAUUUCAUUUACACGUUUGUGCUAGUUCCAUGACACGGAGUAGCAGAUAGAAACAAUUGCAUCUAUGCACCAUUGCAGUGAAGGUCAAAUUUUUAUAUUUGCUCAUUUGAAUAAAUGAAUGUAUUGCAUAUACA